GAUGAACGCUGGCGGCGUGCUUAAGACAUGCAAGUCGAACGCAGAGAAUGCAGCAAUGCAGGCUCUGAGUGGCGAAUGGGUGCGUAACACGUAGGUGACCUGCCCUAAAGUGGGGAAUAACAGUCCGAAAGGACUGCUAAUACCGCAUACGGUUCCAGGGGUUAGAGAACUGGAAGCAAAGCUGCUCGUAAGAGUGGCGCUUUAGGAGGGCCUGCGGCCCAUCAGGUAGUUGGUGGGGUAAUGGCCUACCAAGCCGACGACGGGUAGGGGACC
rnacentral:rRNA from 1 species